AUACUUACCUGGCGUCGGGGUUACCGUGAUCACUAAGGCGGUUCCCCCAGGGUGAGGCCUUCCCAUUGCACUACGGCUUGGCUGACCUCUGCGAAUAUCCCAAAUGCGGAUAUCUCGGGCGCGUAAUUUUUGGUACGGGGACCGCGGUAGCCGAGU
rnacentral:snRNA from 1 species